CUACAUGAAGCUGGAAUCGCUAGUAAUCGCGAAUCAGAAUGUCGCGGUGAAUACGUUCCCGGGUCUUGUACACACCGCCCGUCACACCAUGGGAGUCGGAAAUGCCCGAAGUCAGUGACCCAACCGUAAGGAGGGAGCUGCCGAAGGUGGAGCCGGUAACUGGGGUGAAGUCGUAACAAGGUAUC
rnacentral:rRNA from 1 species